GAUGAACGCUAGCGGCAGGCUUAACACAUGCAAGUCGAGGGGCAGCGCGAUGUAGCAAUACAUUGGCGGCGACCGGCGCACGGGUGCGUAACACGUAUGGAACUUACCCUUUACUGGGAGAUAGCCCGGAGAAAUCCGGAUUAAUAUCCCAUAAUAUACGAAGUGGCAUCACUUUGUUUUGAAAGCUCCGGCGGUAAAGGAUGGCCAUGCGCACGAUUAGCUAGUAGGUGAGGUAACGGCUCACCUAGGCUACGAUCGUUAGGGGGCCUGAGAGGGUUAUCCCCCACACUGGUACUGAGACACGGACCAGACUCCUACGGGAGGCAGCAGUGAGGAAUAUUGCGCAAUGGAGGCAACUCUGACGCAGCCAUGCCGCGUGCAGGAAGAAGGCGCUACGCGUCGUAAACUGCUUUUACCAGGGAAGAAACCCCCAGACGUGUCUGGGGUUGACGGUACCUGAGGAAUAAGCACCGGCUAACUUCGUGCCAGCAGCC
rnacentral:rRNA from 1 species